UACGUAGGGGGCUAGCGUUGUCCGGAAUCAUUGGGCGUAAAGAGCGUGUAGGCGGUCCGGUAAGUCCGCUGUGAAAGUCGGGGGCUCAACCCUCGAAUGCCGGUGGAUACUGUCGGGCUAGAGUGCGGAAGAGGCGAGUGGAAUUCCUGGUGUAGCGGUGGAAUGCGCAGAUAUCAGGAGGAACACCGAUGGCGAAGGCAGUUCUCUGGGCCGUAACUGACGCUGAGGAGCGAAAGCGUGGGGAGCGAACAGG
rnacentral:rRNA from 1 species